GAUGAAGAACGCAGCGAAAUGCGAUAAGUAAUGCGAAUUGCAGAAUUCAGUGAAUCAUCGAAUCUUUGAACGCACAUUGCGCCCGCCAGCAUUCUGGCGGGCAUGCCUGUUCGAGCGUCAUUUCAACCCUCGAGCCCCCCCGGGGGCCUCGGUGUUGGGGGACGGCACACCAGCCGCCCCCGAAAUGCAGUGGCGACCCCGCCGCAGCCUCCCCUGCGUAGUAGCACACACCUCGCACCGGAGCGCGGAGGCGGUCACGCCGUAAAACGCCCAACUUUCUUAGAGUUGACCUCGGAUCAGGUAGGAAUACCCGCUGAACUUAAGCAUAUCAAUAAGCGGAGA
rnacentral:misc_RNA from 1 species